AUAUUCUGGUUUCUCUUCAGAUCACACAAAUCUUUCACCUUUCACUAAAGAUUUCUGUGGAGAGGAAUAAUUCUGAGUUUUUAACUCAGUAAUUUUUGAGCCAGGCUAAUAAAAAAAAUCC